rnacentral:rRNA from 1 species
GGUAGCAACUACCGAGUUAAGUUCUAGUGGCGAACGGGUGCGUAACACGUGGGCAAUCUGCCGAAAAGUGGGGGAUAGCUCGCCGAAAGGCGAAUUAAUACCGCAUAUGAUCAGGGACGACAUCUUCCCAACAUCAAAGCCGGGGUAACCUGGCGCUUUUUGAGGAGCCCGCGGCCUAUCAGCUAGUUGGUGAGGUAACGGCCCACCAAGGCUAUGACGGGUAGCUGGUCUGAGAGGACGAACAGUCACACUGGAAUUGAGACACGGUCCAGACACCUACGGGUGGCAGCAGUCGAGAAUUUUUCUCAAUGGGGGCAACCCUGAAGGAGCGACGCCGCGUGGAGGAUGAAGGCUUUCGGGUUGUAAACUCCUGUCAUUUGAGAACAAGCGUCGGUAAGUAACUAAUAACGGCUUGAUAGUUAAUCAGGAAAGAGGAAGAGACGGGUUAAUUCUUGUGG